CUGGUGUAAAGCUCACAUGUGGCGGUGGGGCUCAGGCGACUUAUGGCAGAAAGAUUUAUCAUAACAGUGGGGGUUUUUUGUUUGUUUGUUUGCAUUUUUUUGUCUCUAUCUCAGCUUUCAAACUUUGCACUGUUUGAAAUGUUUCUUGCAAUCUUUGGUUUGUCUUUUCUUCCAUUUCUCUGAAGGAUUUUAUCAUUUCUUCUCUUAGGGUCUCUAUCAUCUGUAUGAAGUUGUUUUUUAGGUUGCUCUCUUCUGCUUCAUCUGUGUUGGGGUGUUCAGGUCUUUCUGUCAUUGAGUCCCUGGACUCUGGUGGAGUAAUAUUGGUUUUUCUGUUGUUGGAUGUGUUCUUUCAUGUUCCCAUCUUUUUUUCCAGUGGGUGCACGUGGUGUCUCUUCCUCUUCUGAUGUGUACGGGUUCAAUUUUCUCUUCUGGUGGGUUCAAGAGGGUCAGAUACUCUGAUGGGUAUCAAGGUGGGUGCAGGUGGGUCUGAGUUACUCCCUCUCCAGGUGAGUGGGAGAAGGACUAGCCCAGUGAUCUCAGCAGACUCAGGGUUGCUUGGUCCUCAGGGGCCAAGUGGACCUGACUGUAGACCCCAGGACAGGAAUUCCCAGCAUGGGCAGGAGGAAGUUGGACCCAAGGCAGGGGCCAAAGCUCACCUUUGCCCUGAGUAGGGGCAAGAAUAUCCCUGCUAUCUCAGCAGACUCAGGGUUGCUUGGUCCUCAGGAACUGAGCAGUAGUAAGGACAUUUUAAAAUCCAAAAGAAGUAUUUGAAGUUCCAGCUCAUGAGUUAGUUAACCUAACUAAGCUCUCUAGCUAAAUAUCUUUCCUCUCUAUAACAGCAUAUUUGCUCAAAUGACAUGACGUACUUUAUGGGUACUCUAAUCCAGAGCUAACCUGAUAUGGGUAUUUUUCCUCUAGUACAAGAAAACUGUCUGUACAAAAGAAAGGCAAAUGGAACAAAAUAAUCUUACUUAUGUUGCAGUUUCACAAAAAAAGCCAUCAUCAAUGUGUUGAGGGCUAGCAAUAAUUAAGAGUUGAAGGAGUAUUAAUGGUGUUAUGAUUCACUUUCAACUGGGUGACAAAUUUGCUAAGGCAUUGGUAUGAUUUAUGUAGUUGCCCUUGACAACAUUCCUUUGAGGUAAUUAAUUAUUUUUUACAGGUGAUUGAACUGAGACUUGAAGAAGAUAAAAGAAGUUGCCCAAAUCAAAUAGUACCUAAAAAAUCCAGAAUUUGAACUCAUAAAAGAUAAUAAGAAGGAGGUCAGAGGCAACCAAUGGAAAGUCUACAGGCAGAGCUCUCUCUAAAAACUGCAAAGAAAUAUAUAACCCAGAGUUCCUCAGUCAGCAACACCACACUUCCUUACAACAGGGCCUUCAAGAGUUUGCACAUAUAUAUAUAUAUAUAUAUAUAUAUAUAUAUAUAUAUAUAUUAUGGCUGUUAGCUUGGUGUUUAUAUACAACUCCUCACAGUAGGAACAGGUAUGGCUCUGAUUCUUUUGCCUGCUCUUGGGACUCUUUUUCUCCUAUUGGGUUGCCUUCUCCAAGCUCAAUAUGAGGCCUUUGCCUCAUCUUACUGUAUCUUGUUAUGCUGUGUUUGGUUAUUGUCUCUUAGAAGCCUGCUCUUUUCUAAAGGGAAAUGGGGUUAGUGGAUCUUGGGGGGAGGGGAGGUUGGAGGGCUGGGAAGUGUGGAAGGAGGGAACUGUAAUUCAGAUGUAUUGGAUGAGAGAAAAAUCUGUUUACAAUCAAAUAAAUAAAUAAACAAAAGAAUACUGAACAUCAACAAAAAAAAGAAAGAAAGAAAGAAAGAAAGAAAGAAAGAAAGAAAUUUCAUCCUAAGCAUGAACCAAAAGGACUGUCAUAUUAGUGGUCGAUCACUGACAGUGGGGUAGGGAAGACGACGUGCUCUGCUACAUAGAGGAGGCCAGGAGAAGACACCUGGGCCACUUCUGUCAUCUCACAUGGGUAUCACAAAACUUCAUGCUUGAGUUCUCAUAAAGAGUAAGUGAGCACAUUACACGGGAAAUUUUACAGAGAACCAUGUGCUUCAGGAAAGGCCAAAUGGCAAGACGAUGUCUGAGAAAAGAGGUCCAGCAACACAUCACUGAAAUGCUUAACCUGACAGGGGAAAAAUAGCUAUGGAUGACAUCAAAAUUGAAAAAGAUUUCCUGUGAACAAGAUACCUCUUAAUUAGAAGAGAUGACAUUUCAUCAAGCAACAUGGCCAUUUUAUCCAUUUGAUCAGAUAUAACUUGCCAAAGGAGAACCUCUCCCAAAUUUAGGGUUGGGAAAAGGUUUUGUUUUUGUCUUUUCAGGAGAAUAAAGGUGUCCAGCUAAGUAAUCCAGAGACCACUGGACAAAUAAGACAUCUGAUGAAAAAGAAAAAAAAUUAUCCAAAAAUUUUCCAUAAGAAAAGGAUUAAAUUGGCCUCUUGCCAUACUAUAUUUCCAACAGAAUAAACUUUCACAUCUUCUGUU